GAAAUGCGAUAAGUAGUGUGAAUUGCAGAAUUCAGUGAAUCAUCAAAUUUUUGAACGCACAUUGCGCUUCCUGGUAUUCCGGGGAGCAUGCCCGUUUCAGAAUCAUUUAAAACACUCUGUCUCUCUGGUUUCAGAUGACAGGAAGAUGGAUGCUUUGCAUUCCUGUGGUGCAAUCAUCUUAAUGCCAUUCUGCAUGCCCCCAGUGUGACCUGGCAGGCUUCCAAGGUGCAACAGAAAUACCAUCUUUACACUCUGGACUCUGCUAAGGAGCAUCUGUGGUCGUGAAGUCUCAUUGCUAAGAGCAUAAUCCAUUGAGGAAUAAUGCUCUUUUAUUUUUGGUCUGAAAUCGGGCAAGAAAACCCGCUGAACUUAA
rnacentral:misc_RNA from 1 species